GGAUUCCCCUAGUAACUGCGAGUGAAGCGGGGAAAAGCUCAAAUUUAAAAUCUGGCAGUCUUUGGCUGUCCGAGUUGUAAUCUAGAGAAGUAUUAUCCGCGCUGGACCGUGUACAAGUCUCCUGGAAUGGGGCGUCAUAGAGGGUGAGAAUCCCGUCUUUGACACGGACUGCCAGGGCUUUGUGAUGUGCUCUCAAAGAGUCGAGUUGUUUGGGAAUGCAGCUCAAAAUGGGUGGUAAAUUCCAUCUAAAGCUAAAUAUUGGCGAGAGACCGAUAGCGAACAAGUACCGUGAGGGAAAGAUGAAAAGAACUUUGGAAAGAGAGUUAAACAGUACGUGAAAUUGCUGAAAGGGAAACGCUUGAAGUCAGUCGCGUUGGCCAGGGAUCAACCUUGCUUUUUUGCUUGGCUUACUUUCUGGUCGAUGGGUCAGCAUCAAUUUUGACUGGUGGAAAAAGUUCAAGGGAAUGUGGCAUCUUCGGAUGUGUUAUAGCCUUUGUUCGCAUACAUCAGUUGGGAUUGAGGAACUCAGCACGCCGCAAGGCCGGGUUUUUAACCACGUACGUGCUUAGGAUGCUGGCAUAAUGGCUUUAAUCGACCCGUCUUGAAACACGGACCAAGGAGUCUAACAUGCCUGCGAGUGUUUGGGUGAAAAACCCGAGCGCGUAAUGAAAGUGAAAGUUGAGAUCCCUGUCGCGGGGAGCAUUGACGCCCGGAUCUGACCUUUUGUGACGAUUCUGCGGUAGAGCAUGUAUGUUGGGACCCGAAAGAUGGUGAACUAUGCCUGAAUAGGGUGAAGCCAGAGGAAACUCUGGUGGAGCUCGUAGCGAUUCUGACGUGCAAAUCGAUCGUCAAAUUUGGGUAUAGGGGCGAAAGACUAAUCGAACCAUC
rnacentral:rRNA from 1 species